GGUUCCAUAGUGUGGUGGUUAUCCCGUCUGCUUUAUACGCAAAAGGUCCUGGGUUUGAGCCCCAGUGGAACCA
rnacentral:tRNA from 1 species